GUGAAUGCUGAGAUUUUAGGUCCUUCAAUCAUGAUUCAUUCCACUUUAAUUUUUCAAGUCAUAACAUUGUUCCUUCACUGUUCAGAUUAGAUUCAUUCUGUCAUUGUUACAUCUCAUAUUUUUCAUGUUAGUUUGCAUUUGCUUCUUAAUUUUUACAUCUGCGAAUACAUGUUUUUGAUUGUUCCAGUUUUAGAAUUUAGGUACUAUUUGACUUGUAUGCUUAGUUAGAUUUUAUAUCAUUUCCUUACUUUAGUUUAGGUUUUAUCUCCUUACUUGUUCUUGCCUUAUAUACUUUUUAAACAGAUUUGAUUUCUUAUUUUUCUUUUCUUUUUAAUUUCAGUUUUAUUCAUUUUAAAUGUCCCCACCUGCAUUAGUAGAUAGUUAAUAAAAAAAAUAACAAGAUCUAACUCCACACUUUAAUCUUAAAUCUGCUGAGUCUU
rnacentral:lncRNA from 1 species